rnacentral:rRNA from 1 species
AGUGAACGCUGGCGGUAGGCCUAACACAUGCAAGUCGAACGGCAGCACAGUAAGAGCUUGCUCUUACGGGUGGCGAGUGGCGGACGGGUGAGGAAUACAUCGGAAUCUACUUUUUCGUGGGGGAUAACGUAGGGAAACUUACGCUAAUACCGCAUACGACCUACGUGUGAAAGCAGGGGAUCUUCGGACCUUGCGCGAUUGAAUGAGCCGAUGUCGGAUUAGCUAGUUGGCGGGGUAAAGGCACACCAAGGCGACGAUCCGUAGCUGGUCUGAGAGGAUGAUCCGCCACACUGGCACUGAGACACGGUCCAGACUCCUACGGGAGGAAGCAGUGGGGAAUAUUGGACAAUGGGCGCAAGCCUGAUCCAGCCAUACCGGGUGGGUGAAGAAGGCCUUCGGGUUGUAAAGCCCUUUUGUUGGGAAAGAAAAGCAGCAGGUUAAUACCCCGCUGUUCUGACGGUACCCAAAGAAUAAGCACCGGCUAACUUCGUG